rnacentral:rRNA from 1 species
AGACAGAGGCCACAAACGUUGUUCGGAAUCACUGGGCAUAAAGCGCACGUAGGCGGCUGGGCCCGUCCGAUGUGAAAGCCCCCGGCUCAACCGGGGAAUUGCAUCGGAUACCGCCCGGCUUGAGGACGGUUGGGGUGAGUGGAACUCCUGGUGGAGCGGUGAAAUGCGUAGAUAUCAGGAGGAACACCGGUGGCGAAAGCGGCUCACUGGACCGUUUCUGACGCUGAGGUGCGAAAGCUAGGGGAGCAAACGGGA